AGCGUAGGUGGCCUAACAUGUCAACUGUGAAAACCCGGAGCUCAACUCCGGACUUGCAGUUGAAACUGGUAGGCUUGAGGACGGUAGAGGAAGACGGAACUGCCAGUGUAGGGGUAAAAUCCUUAGAUAUUGGCAGGAACGCCGAUGACGAAGGUGGUUUUCUGGGCCGGUUCUGACACUGAUGCUCGAAAGCCAGGGGAGCGAACGG
rnacentral:rRNA from 1 species